rnacentral:tRNA from 1 species
GCCUGGCUGGCUCAGUUGGUGGAACGUGUGACUCUUGAUCUCAGGGUUGUGAGUUCAAGCCCCACGUUGGGUG